GCGAUAAAUCGACCGCUUGGGAGUACGGCCGCAAGGUUAAAACUCAAAUGAAUUGACGGGGGCCCGCACAAGCGGUGGAGCAUGUGGUUUAAUUCGAUGCAACGCGAAGAACCUUACCUGGUCUUGACAUCCAUAGAAUUCUGCAGAGAUGUGGGAGUGCCUUCGGGAACUAUGAGACAGGUGCUGCAUGGCUGUCGUCAGCUCGUGUUGUGAAAUGUUGGGUUAAGUCCCGCAACGAGCGCAACCCUUAUUCUUUGUUGCCAGCGAUUUGGUCGGGAACUCAAAGGAGACUGCCGUUGAUAAAGCGGAGGAAGGUGGGGACGACGUCAAGUCAUCAUGGCCCUUACGACCAGGGCUACACAUGUGCUACAAUGGCGUAUACAAAGGGAAGCGAAGGUGCGAGCUGGAGCGGAUCUCAUAAAGUACGUCUAAGUUCGGAUUGGAGUCUGCAACUCGACUCCAUGAAGUCGGAAUCGCUAGUAAUCGUAGAUCAGAAUGCUACGGUGAAUACGUUCCCGGGCCUUGUACACACCGCCCGUCACACCAUGGGAGUGGGUUGCACCAGAAGUAGAUAGCUUAACCGCGAGGGGGGCGUUUACCACGGUGUGAUUCAUGACUGGGGUGAAGUCGUAACAAGGUAACCA
rnacentral:rRNA from 1 species